AGCAGGCAUGUGCAGGACUAACCGUAGGUUGCCCGAGAGGGUAGCAGCGCAUAUAGCGUGGGUUCCUACGGCCUGAGGCCUGUUUUUUA
rnacentral:sRNA from 1 species